CCUACGGGAGGCAGCAGUGGGGGAUAUUGCACAAUGGGGGAAACCCUGAUGCAGCGACGCCGCGUGGGUGAAGAAGCGCCUCGGCGCGUAAAGCCCUGUCAGCAGGGAAGAAAAUGACGGUACCUGAAGAAGAAGCCCCGGCUAACUACGUGCCAGCAGCCGCGGUAAUACGUAGGGGGCAAGCGUUAUCCGGAUUUACUGGGUGUAAAGGGGGCGCAGCCGGCGAUGCAGGCCAGGAGUGAAAGCCCGGGGCCCACACCCGGGACUGCUCUUGGAACUGCGUGGCUAGAGUGCAGGAGGGGCAGGCGGAAUUCCUGGUGUAGCGGUGAAAUGCGUAGAUAUCAGGAGGAACACCGGUGGCGAAGGCGGCCUGCUGGACUGCAACUGACGUUGAGGCCCGAAAGCGUGGGGAGCAAACAGGAUUAGAUACCCCUGUAGUC
rnacentral:rRNA from 1 species